UAUGGAGGGUGCAAGCGUUGUCCGGAAUCACUGGGCGUAAAGGGCGCGUAGGCGGCUCAUGAAGGCUGUGGUGAAAGUCCGGGGCUCAACCUCGGAUCGGCCGUGGCGACUCGUGGGCUGGAGCACUGUAGAGGCGGGUGGAAUUCCGGGUGUAGCGGUGGAAUGCGUAGAGAUCCGGAAGAACACCAGUGGCGAAGGCGGCCCGCUGGGCAGUGGCUGACGCUGAGGUGCGAAAGCGUGGGGAGCAAACAGG
rnacentral:rRNA from 1 species